GCAGAGUCAGGCUCUGGACUUCAGAAAAUCAGAUUUCUGUUUGUUUAGGCAAUUUCUUUGACCAAAUUUCAGUUUCUGAGGCAGAACUCCCUCUGGAAGCUUCCAUGAGGAGAAAAAGUGCAUAAGCAAGAUGGUUGAUCUUUAAAAAAAACUUACAGAGAGUUCAGAAACAAACUUUCUUCCAUUUGUACAUAAAAAUGAAAAUUUUUGGCAGAACGGUUGCUUGGCUAGGCAGGGAGCCCCUGGAUGAACUGAAACACAAGAACACACAAGAAGUAGAAACCAGGCAACAAAGAAGCAACACAAACAGAACUUCUUGAGCAUUUGGAGGAAAAUCAGAAAGACCCGGGCAACGAAGAAGCAACACAAACAGAACUUCUUGAACAUUUGGAGGAAAAUCAGAAAGACCAAGGCUCAGCUGUAGAUAAAAGUAGCGAGGAACAUAAGGGGAGUGCUGAAAUACCUCCAUCAGUGUGUUCAUGAAUUCUAAGUGGAUGGACUGCAAUCAGCUGUUUGAUUUGACCAUAACAAGAGUAUUUAUACAUGAAGAAAAAUACCUGCUAUUCAUUGAAUCACUCAGGAAACAGGAAAUAAAACAAUGGCUCAGUGAUUAG
rnacentral:lncRNA from 1 species